GGGCCGUUAGCUCAGCCCGGUAGAGCAGCGGAUUUUUAAUCCGUUGGUCAGGAGUUCGAAUCUCCUACGGCCCACCA
rnacentral:tRNA from 1 species